rnacentral:lncRNA from 1 species
CCCAUGGAAAAAUGGCACCAGGCCGGGCACGGAUCGAGUCUGCACGCCGGAGAGGCGGGGGUGGGUGGCUGGGCAGGGCCCCUGGUGGGCCUACUGCCAGCCUCACCCUGGGGUGGGAGUGGAUUCUUGGGAAACAGCUCCAAAAGCCCCAAGUUCGCCCCUGAUGUGUUAGGUGUCCCUUUCAGUGGCCUCCCUCUCCCCUGACUACGGUUGAGUGGGAGGGGGCUACUGUAGGGGAAGAGGGAGGCCAGCCCUGUGGAGAGCUCCAGUACACUAUGUCAUCUGUAUUUAACGUGUCCAGCAUUAUGAUAACCCAUUUUAGAAAUACUCAUGUAAUGGUUAUAACACCCCUGUGAGGGAGGUGGCAUCAUUUUUACAGAUAAAGGAAACUGAAGUAGAGAGACAUUAAGGGCCCCAGAGAGAUUUGAACCUAGGAUGGCUGGUUUGGGGGAUGUUCACCGCAGGUGCUGCUGACAUAAAUCAAGAUGCUCAAUUCUGGGUUCCGUCUUGGAGUGGCGCUGGAGAAGAGGGUCAGCAUCGACAGCAGGGCUGGCUGCCCACUCUGUCCUGUUUGCUCAGCUGUAAAAUGAGCAGAAGAGGUGCCUCCCGCUCCCACAAUCCUGUCUGGGGUCGGACCCUGAGUGGCAAGGUAGGAUCCUGGGUGAUCCGGUCAGAGUUCAGCCGUUCUCGCACAAAUGGGAAAACGGAGUGCUCUCUACUCCCGUCCCACCCACGCCAAAAAAAAGGGCCAGACUUGCCCGAGGUCUCCUAAGGAGUGGAGACCAGAGGCGGGGCCUGCUGCUCCCUGCCCAGCCCGCUCUCCCACCGCUAGCGUUCCCUCCCCGUUCCAGGCCAGGUCGUGGGAGGCGGAGGUUGGGGAGGAGGCAGCAUCCUGCCCGGGUGCGUCAGGAAGGGCCGAGCGGGAAGGAAGGCACCACCCCCCC